GUACUCAAAAAGGAAAUUGUCAUCAUUUUGGUAAUGUAAUACUGCUCUCACAAUGGAGAGACGGUGGUUGAAGGGCGGAUGCUCACGGUCUCUGACUCUCUCUUUACCCAUCAAGGGGGAUUCUUGGCUACAUUUUCUGAUUCCCAGGCCACAGAUACACUGGCCAGUACCCUGGGUAAAGAUGCAGCAGAAUGUGGUUCCUUUCAAAAAGCUUCUCCUGAGGUCAGCACUUGGGAUGGAUUUCAAAAUUCACCGUGGGUUUGUGAAAAUAUGACAGUUAUUUAUGAAAACCUGAUAGGCUUGAGGACUGUUUGGUGGCCUUUCCUCAUUUAUUUUCUGUAAGCAGGCCUCUUCUGCUCUCGACAAAUGAACACAAACAACAUCUACAGAUUGACAUAUUUUCCCCAGAGCAAUCAACACUGGAUUUAAUGAUCUCUGGUGACGAUUAUUUCUCCUUUUUUUGGCCUUAAUUCCAGAACAUAAUGAAACUCAAAAGCAGAUUUUUUUUUUUUUUUUUUUUUUGGUAAGCCCUAUUGGAAGGCUGUGUCUGGUUAAAAGCCCUGGAGAGAUGGCCUGUUUAUAGGAGGUUUCCUUCCAUUAGAGCUACCUGACCCUCAUGUGACCUUCAUGUGGUCUCACGUAGCCUUUAUAUGCCACAAGAUACCGCGCCUCAGGAUGACCAAGAAUACACAAGCCACCCAUCUUUGACUCGACAGCAGAAAACCCAAUUAUCUUGUCACCAUUUCUCAGGAAUGAAACAGAAGCCCCACAAGGGCAUUGAUGGUUUCCCACAAGAUGGCAGUGGUCUUUGUGCAAAGAACAGAGGAAGAGCAUUCCCCGAGUCCCAUACCAAAUGUGACAUAAUGCUGCCCUUGUGAAUUUAAUGCUUGUGAAAUCCA